rnacentral:sRNA from 1 species
UGUAUGGUGUUUGAAUCGCAGGGACAAA